AUAAUGACAGUACCGGGAGAAUAAGCUCCGGCUAACUCCGUGCCAGCAGCCGCGGUAAUACGGAGGGAGCYAGCGUUGUUCGGAAUUACUGGGCGUAAAGCGCGCGCAGGCGGUUUUUCAAGUCAGAGGUGAAAGCCCGGGGCUCAACCCCGGAAUUGCCUUUGAAACUGGAAGACUUGAAUCUUGGAGAGGUCAGUGGAAUUCCGAGUGUAGAGGUGAAAUUCGUAGAUAUUCGGAAGGACACCAGUGGCGAAGGCGACUGACUGGACA
rnacentral:rRNA from 1 species